rnacentral:lncRNA from 1 species
GGCCCCAGCUUGGCCGGGCAGCGCUAACCUAGGCAGCCUGGACAACCAGAGCUGGGACGCAGACAGAACGCGGGGACCCCUCGCCGCCAAGACCACAAACCAGCCAACCUGAACCCCUGGCACGGGGCUCCUCCGUGACAGGUCCCCCGCCGCCCCCUCAUGGACACGCGAGGCACAGUGUGGCCCCGGCUGCAGCACAGGAGAUGCCCCGGGAGAGGCGGGAAAGACUUUCGGCGGUGCCACACCGCCUUCAAGUCCAAGUCCAGGGACCCACAGCUGCUGCGGAUGCUGGAGAGACAGGGGAGCCCCUCGGUCCUCACCACAGGCCACACCUGGGGAAGCAACUGUGCAACCUUUCGAACUCAGAAAGUGGGCGUCUUUCUGAUGUGGGUCUGGAAACCACUGGCAGGCACAAUGCCCGGGUCACCGGCCCUCUAAGCCCUGCCCUGCGGUUUGACACUUCCCGGGUGCAGAGACUCCCCAUCCUCCCGUGCACAGCCCACUUGAGGGGUCUGGACACUGCUAACCCUUGAGGGGAGUGGGGUCUGGGACUCCGUGUGGAGUGCGGAUUGGAGAGGAGGUUUUUGCUCGGAGACUGAGCUAUAAAGGGCAAGUGAUUUGGGCAGAGCUCCCUGCUUUUCAGUUUCUGGGAGAAGUUUAAAGGCUACAGACAGCUCCUCUGCACAUGGUUUUUAGAAUUCAGUGUGGUUUUGUCCUGUCCUGGGCCUUGCUUCGCUGGGAGACUUUUACAUGUGGGUUCAACCUCGUAGCUCACUGUUGGUCCCUUCAGGUUCUCAGUGUCUGUGUGCGCCCAUCUUUCCUAGAUUUCCUGAUUGGCUGUGGGUCCUUGUUCACAACACUGCUGAUCAUCCUAUCCAAGACUAUAAAAUGUGGCUACUACGAAGUUUGUGCUUCCAUAGAUGGCUUGCACUCUGUUCCUGCUGCCCAGUCAGGGCUCCAGGGGUCACCACCAAAUGACAGCAAGGACACAGGACAGAAGCAUCUGGACAACACACCAAGGAAUACGAUGGACAAAUGUCAGACUCAUGAAAAUGCAGCCGAGAAACAAAGAAAUGACAAUUUGGGACAGGGUGAGGUGGACAGAGAAGGAAAGAAACUGUGGAGGAAACUGCGUAUUAUAGCAGACAUUAAACACAUCACCACCUGAUCUCAGUUUGCAGAUUUUAUGGGAAUACUGUUUCAAAGAAACAAAAUUAAACAACAAAUGGGCAUUUUCAACACUGACUUACAAUGAAAUAUUAACAACUGGUAGCAACUUGUGCUGGGUAGAACAAAAAUGAAGCCCAGAAAACAGAUGCAACACACCUAACCCAAAAGGCACAAAAAUAUUUUCUAAAUACUCAAGAAAAUCAUUUUUGGAAAGAUCUCAUAUCCUUCACACUUUCUGUAUGUUGAAGCAGUGGACAGAGUAUAAUAAUAAUGCAGAACCGACAGCCACUCGAUUCCAUUAUGACAAUGGUUACAGAUCACUUUCACCCACUAAGUAGAUAGAACUGAGGACACUCGAUGUCGAUGAGAGGGUGAGCAGUGAUACAUUACAUUUGGAUCUGAAGAAAAACCAUGGUGUAGACAGGUAGGAGAAAUGGUGUGUAACUGGGAUAUGUAUGCCUGGGUGGAAAUAACACUAUAAAUGGCAGGUAACUAGGUAGAAAGAAAGAAAAUAAGUGCUUCCAUGCUGUUGCUUCAAGUUGAGAGGUAUCAUGUAAAACUGUCAAAGUAACUAUGAGACACUUGUCAAAUGAAGGAGAACACAGGGGUCUAAACAUUCUUAGGGCAACAUGAAUCUCAAGCCCUCUGAUCCUUCCUGCAUUCCAAAAUACUCACAUGCAGCAUGGAGAAAGAACUGUGAGGAACACAAUCUACUACAUAUGGUAAACACAGCCUAACAUUUAGAAUAUAAAAAUAAUAUGAGGUAGAAUAUAAUAUAAUGUGAGGUUUGUGGAAAAAGGGGACUAAAGGCGUAAAUAUAUGCUUAGGGUAAUGUGAAACCUGAGCUAUACGAUACUUAUGAAAUAUCAGACAAAACACAUAUGCAAAGAGAACAAAAAACUAGGAGAAACACAGUCUACUACAUAUGGUACAAUGUGCCUAAAAGCACCUGGAGUUUAGACUAGUAGAACUACGAAAUAAGAAAGCUUCCGUUAUUUAGAUCCUUAUCUACCAAAAUGAUCAUAAAAUAAAAAGACUAUAAAACUGAAUUUUUAAGUAGAUUUUAGAGACAAUACCAUUCUAAUAAUUCUUGUUAACCUAACUUAGGAUUAAAGUUGAAAUUCAAAGAGACAAACUGGACCUAGGCCUUUGGCUUCUGGAGUCUGUGUCACACGUGGAGUUGGAGGUAGUGUGACUUUGAAAAACAAAAACUAGCCUUUGGAAUAAAAAUCAAGUGCAGUCCCUGGUUGAGAAUCCAGUUCUCACAAAGCAUCACUCCUGUGUUCUGAUGACGAUGCGGCCAGUACGUUGUUGCAGACGUCACUAUAAAGUGACGAAUCUCCUUAAAGUGAUGAAUCUUCUUAAAUCAGCAGUACCUUUCCUGGCUUCAGCAGUCUGUGGGACCUGAGAGGGAGAGAGAAAUGAAGGGACAGUCUUGGUCAGGUCCUGUGGACAGGCAGGCCUGGAGGUACUGCUCAGUGGUGACACAGACCAGAGGCCACCUGAGCUCCGGGGGAGAGAGCACUAAGGGCUGGGGCUCAGGCUGCCUGGAGGAGAAGGCCACCUCCACAGGGCAGAGGAAACCCUCCUGAUCUUGCAGUCUCGCCCUGGUGCACGGCACAGGGCCCUGGCUGCCCCCCCAACAGCUGGUGACAUCAGCCACUGUCCUCCUGAUCCUCUCUGGUGACCACAGUGAGAACUUUUCACACAUCUCGGGCAGGGGUGACCUUGGCCUCAGUGACGCACACUCAGAAAGAGAUUGCUGCAGGCAAGAGAGGCCACUUCCAUGAGAAACACACCCUCUGUGACUCCACACACCGGGAUGAGGGGAUGAGUGUGCGGGCAGUGGGAACACUCAGCAGAAACAUCAGACACCGCCCGCGGCCAGUCACACAUUUACUAAAGAGGACACACUGAGGCCACAGGACAGGAUAGAAAGGUGAGGGCUAGAUGAAGUCACACAAGCCUCCUUGACAGUCCCGGCCCUAGAGCCCAGGCCCCAGGCCCUUUCCAUAAAAUCACCUUGGAAGGGCCAGAGGCUCCGAUUUGAGGCCUCAACCUCACCAUGGCCAAGUGGACCACAUGGAGAGAUGAGAAUGAGGAUGCCAAGGCUGGAGAGAAGGGUUAUUCCCAAGUGGAUCAAGGAAGAACAGAAAAAGGCAUCGCUCAGAAUGGAAGGAGACAAGGGCGAGCAGUGAGUGUAGCAGCAGCCCAAGGUCCUUUCUAAUGCUUCCUAACUAAACCUACAAAUCACUGCAGGGAAGGACCAGACUGAGUUUCACCGUCCUCUCUCCCUCUGUGGUUUCCUUGCUCACCAGGCUCUUUGGGAAAGCGUGUUCUUAGUACUUGAGGUGAGUGUGCAGAGUGGCACAACAUGGUAAUGCAGACAGCAUUUUCUGACUUGCUGUUUUCAAACCUCAUCAUACCUGCUUCAAAGGGCUGAGACUAACGACUUUUAUUUGGAGAUUUUCCUUAAUGAAAAUAACUGACUCUUAUCGCUUCUCGGCCUUUUGGCUAAAAUCAAGUGAAAAUAACUGACUCAAAG